CUAACUAAUGCAAAACACACAAGAAAUAAGAGGAAUGAAUAUUCAAAAAGAAGAGACAGGACUGUCACCAUUUGCUGACAAGGAUGUAUAAGAGAAGAAUCACUCCCCACCUCCAAGGAAAAGAUUAGAAAAGGAGUCUGGGAGAGCUCCACGGGACCUCAGAAGAUGCCGCCCACCGCAGACAAGACUUCAGAACCAUUUGCCAUUUCCACCUGAGAGCAUCCUCUCUGCUCUCAAAUCACUCCCCUUCUUUCUCAUAUCUUAAGUUUUCACCAUAAAAUAUAGUUCUUCCCUUUUGCUUACUAA